GAUGAACGCUGGCGGCGUGCCUAAUACAUGCAAGUCGAGCGAACGGACGAGAAGCUUGCUUCUCUGAUGUUAGCGGCGGACGGGUGAGUCACACGUGGAUAACCUACCUAUAAGACUGGGAUAACUUCGGGAAACCGGAGCUAAUACCGGACAAUAUUUUGAACCGCAUGGUUCAAAAGUGAAAGACGGUCUUGCUGUCACUUAUAGAUGGAUCCGCACUGCGUUAGCUAGUUGGUAAGGUAACGGCUUACCAAGGCGACGAUGCAUAGCCGACCUGAGAGGAUGAUCGGCCACACUGGAACUGAGACACGGUCCAGACUCCUACGGGAGGCAGCAGUAGGGAAUCUUCCGCAAUGGGCGAAAGCCUGACGGAGCAACGCCGCGUGAGUGAUGAAGGUCUUCGGAUCGUAAAGCUCUGUUAGUAGGGAAGAACAUAUGUGUAAGUAACUGUGCGCAUCUUGACGGUACCUAAUCAGAAAGCCCCGGCUAACUACGUG
rnacentral:rRNA from 1 species